AUUGAACGCUGGCGGCAGGCCUAACACAUGCAAGUCGAACGAGUCGCGGACGUGUGAGAAAUGUCUGGGAAAGCGCGUGAGGGAGGGGGAAAACUACUGGAAACUGUAGCAAAUACCGCAUUCUAUCGGAAGUGCCCAGAUGGGAUUAGCUAGUAGGUGGGGUAAAGGCUCAUCGAGGCGACGAUCCCUAGCUGGUCUGAGAGGAUGACCAGCCACACUGGAACUGAGACACGGUCCAGACUCCUACGGGAGGCAGCAGUGGGGAAUAUUGCACAAUGGGCGCAAGCCUGAUGCAGCCAUGCCGCGUGUAUGAAGAAGGCCUUCGGGUUGUAAAGUACUUUCAGCCGGGAGGCGUUACCCGCAGAAGAAGCACCGGCUAACUCCGUGCCAGCAGCCGCGGUAAUUC
rnacentral:rRNA from 1 species